rnacentral:rRNA from 1 species
GACAGAGGGGGCAAGCGUUGCUCGGAAUCACUGGGCGUAAAGCGCGCGUAGGCGGCUUUGUAAGUUAGAGGUGAAAGCCCGGAGCUUAACUCCGGAACUGCCUUUUAAGACUGCAUCGCUAGAAUCGUGGAGAGGUGAGUGGAAUUCCGAGUGUAGAGGUGAAAUUCGUAGAUAUUCGGAAGAACACCAGUGGCGAAGGCGACUCACUGGACACGUAUUGACGCUGAGGUGGCGAAAAGCGUGGGGAGCAAACAGG